rnacentral:lncRNA from 1 species
CUGGGGUCCCCAGAAGCGCCCACUGGGAUAAAAGAGCAGAUACCACCACCACUGCCACCACUGUUGGCUGAGGCUCCACAGUUCCCUGGUGAAAAGAAAACUUCAUCCCCUUCUCCACACAGGAAGGCAGCAGCUACUUCCUACUGAGGAAUCCUAAAUCGUUUGGAUUUGUAACACCUUGUUAUCUAGGAUUGCAUUUCUGCAGCCUCUCCAGUCUUGCCUGGAAAACAUUCCCAAGAGGUCCUUAAGUUCCCCAGAUUCUCAUUUCAUGUUCUGAGAUCUCAGGCUUCUUUAUCCCAAUCAAAACCUGUUCCCAGAAAAAGAUUUGACUUCUCAUUUACACUAGGGUGAUAACAAACUGAUAAUUGCUUAAUUGUUAUUCUUUUCUGAGCUAGUUUCAUUUCCUAACUUAAUAGCUACAAGCAUCAGGCAAUUAGUGUGUGCCUGGUCCUUGCUAAGCACUUCAGGAACAUUUAUCUCUUUUGAAACAGAUAGACCUUGGGCAAAAUAAUGUCAAGGUCCCUGAUAAGAUUCUGGCCUCAGGCUAUCAAAGGGGGAAGCUUGUAGAAAGCAAAGUCAAAAAGAUACAGCUCCCUCAUCCAAAAGCAUGGCCCUGCUCAACACCUCCCCACUACUACAAAGCAGCUAAUGUUUAUUGAUUACCUACUAUGUGCCAAGGUACAAUUGUGCUAAACAUUUUUCUUACAUUAACACAGUCCCCUAACAAUCUGUAAGAUGAAUAUAUUCUCAUUUUCAAUUAAAGAUACUGAGAUUCAAAGAUGUGAAAAGGCAACACGUGUAACUUUU